rnacentral:rRNA from 1 species
ACGGGGUUUUUGAUGCUGGCAGCCAAUUUUUGGAUGCAUGUGCUCGCCCUAACAAUCAUCUUCCAAACACCCGUGCACACUUUUGAGGGAAUUUCGAGUUGAUUGCCACUUUUGGGUGAUUAUCUUUCAUUCCCUUAAAUUUACUAUACACUAUCAGCAAUGUUGAACGUGAUUUGUGCCGCAAUGGCCAUUAAUACAAAUAUAACUUUUAACAACGGAUCUCUUGGCUCUCGCAUCGAUGAAGAACGCAGCGAAAUGCGAUAAGUAAUGUGAAUUGCAGAAUUCAGUGAAUCAUCGAAUCUUUGAACGCACCUUGCGCUCCCUGGUAUUCCGGGGAGCACGCCUGUUCGAGUGUCGCGAAAUUUCUCAAGCUUGGAUGACAUUUUUGUCUGUCCUUAGUUUGGUUGUUGGGCUUUGCCGUGUCCUUCAUUGGGGACGGCUGGCCUUAAAAGCAUUAGCUGAUCCUCGUGUGGAACUGGUUCUACUCAGCGUGAUAACAGUCUGAUCGCUGAGGACAUCUUUUGGGAUGGCCAGUCCCCAUUUGGGUUGCUUCUAAACCUGGUUUUGCAGAUUGUAUUGAUCUGUAUUCCAAUUUUCAGCUUUGACCUCGAAUCAGGUGGGACUACCCGCUGAACUUAAGCAUAUC